rnacentral:rRNA from 1 species
UACGUAGGUCGCAAGCGUUGUCCGGAUUUACUGGGCGUAAAGAGCGCGCAGGCGGCUGGUCAAGUCCGAUGUGAAAUCUCCCGGCUCAACUGGGAAACUGCAUCGGAAACUGAUCGGCUUGAAGAUGGGAGAGGGUAGUGGAAUUCCCGGUGUAGUGGUGAAAUGCGUAGAUAUCGGGAGGAACACCAGUGGCGAAGGCGGCCAUCUGGACGGAUACUGACGCUGAGACGCGAAAGCGUGGGGAGCAAACAGG